GACGUAGGUCCCGAGCGUUGCCCGGAUUUACUGGGCGUAAAGUGCGCGUAGGCGGCUCGGCAAGUCGUCCGUGAAAGCCCGGGGCUCAACCGCGGGAGGCCGGGCGAGACUGUCUGGCUAGAGGACGGCAGAGGAAGAUGGAGCGGAUGGAGUAGCGGUGAAAUGCGUAGAUACCGGCCGAAAAACCGAUGGCGAAGGCAUUCCUCUGGGCAGUUACUGACGCUGAGGCGCGAAAGCGUGGGGAGCGAACAGG
rnacentral:rRNA from 1 species